UAGGUCCAGUGUGCCAGGUGGGGCAUGGCAACAGGAGUCUAGAAUUCAGGAGAAUGGAGAGGCUAUGGUUGGGCCCAGUUAGUCUUUUCAAGAUUGUGUCUUGACCACUGUCUGAAGUUAGUGGAAUUGGGUCUGGACAGAAUAUCAAAAUCCCAGCCAAGAGGCUCAGGUAUUACUCGAAAAAUCUGUGCAUUUGCCUAAGGCUAGAAAAUUUUUCCAUUCCUCAUUGGCAGGCCAACUGAUCUUCUUGGUAUACUUUAAUCCAGUCUCAGGAACAAGCAUCAGUGACUCUGGCUAAAAGCUCUAGAUAAUACUCAUUCUCCGGGCAGCAGACAAAAGACUUGGAGACAUACACAGCUGAAGGAAAUGAAAAGGCAACAAGGCUAAGAGAACAAAGAUGAGCAUUGCCACGGUCCGGAGGAUGGUGGUGGAGGAAGCCUUCUCUACGCUGGUGCCUCUAUUGGAACUUUCAGGAAAUGAACAUGUGUGUUUUGUGUUUUUCCCUUUACACCUCAAGAAACUUGGAACAAUGAUUUUCUUUUAUGGAGAAGCUUACAUUUAAGCAGAUUAAAAAUUAGCCCCAAGAAUAGAAAUACAGAAUCAAAGUCCACAAAUUUAAUUAUUGUUUCCCCUGGUUAGCUGAUCUUCAAUUCUGAUAUCUUCCUCUCUCUGGUGUAGGGGAGUAAGGGUUAUACCCAUUUUGAAAUUCGUUGUUGUAUUACGACUACUAAUACACAGGGAAAGUUUCUAUGCAUUCAUUUAUUCAUCAAUAGAUAUUUAUUAGGACUCACUGUUUAUGGAACUGCCCAAGAUAUUGUGGGAGAUACAAGGGAGAAGAAAACAUCAACCCUGUUCUCAGAGUGUUUAAAGUCUACCAGGACUUCAAACGUGUCCAUUGCACACGUAAGCAUAAUAAAAGUUAAAAGGAGGUAUGCUAUAAAAUGGAUCAAAAUCAAAGGCUUUAAGAAGAGGAAAGGCAUUCCUUCUAGCUUUGGUCAGAUUUGGUCCACAAUCAAAUCAAAUUCUUAUUAAGUUCAUAUUCUCUUACUGACAAACUAAACUGCUGCAAAAAAUAAUCCUCCCCCAUGGGAGAUCUUACAGACAUACCCUAAUUGCCCUAGCUAAGUUUAGAAUGUAGCUCUGAAAAGAAUGACAAAAGACCUUGAAGAGGCAAGCAAGAGAUUUUGAAAUAUCUGGUCUAUAAGGGUAAAAGACUGUAUGAUACCAAAGCCUCAGGGUACCCAGCUGGGGUCAAUCUAUAUUAAUUGCUAACACCUAGAGGUAAUUAGCAGUAAUUACCCAAAGGAGUGAUGGGAUGGCCAGACGGACUUAAAGGCAGCAAUUCCAGGAGCUCCUACCAUGUUGGGAACCUAACAGCUUCUAGGUAACAAGAAAUAAAUUAGGUUUCCCCAGCAAUUUAUGUAGAUAGUUUUAAGAUUGUAUUACAAAGGACCCCGUGGGGCAAGCUUUUAUAAAUAUAUUACUAAAACUCGUAGCCCUUGCUACCCAGAGGUGAAGUUUAUUUUCUCACCCUUUGAGUCUGAGCUGAUCUUACCACUUGCUUUAACCGAUGAAUAUGGGGAAAGAGAAAUUGUGCAACUUUUGCUAGUAAGUCUUACAAGACCUGCAGCUUCCAGCUUCACCUUCUAGGAACAUUGCCCUGAGAUCAUCUUGUGAGGCAGCUGGUCUAGCCUCCUGGAGGAGAAGCAGUUUUGUGGAGAAGAUUCCAGGCAUCCCUGCCAACAAGCACCAACUCCAGAUAUAUGAGGAAGAGUAGUUUACAACUGACACUGUUUGGAAUUGCUGGCACAUGGUGAUAAUCAAAGGUCUGAUGCUUCAGAGAAACCUCUUGAAACUGAAAAGGAAGAAAGACCUAGAUGAGGACAUAAAUACAACUUUGGCAUUAAUUUUUUCCACUAUAUUUCAUAAACUGAGCAUUGAGAAUCUCUGAAUUUUCUAUGAAUGUUCCCCAAUUAACCCCACUCAUCAUAUGUUCCUAGAGGCUAUAGAAAUUGUUUCCUAGAUGUUGAAAAUUUAUUAUAAAAAUUCUUAAGAGGCUGAGAGAUUUCUGGAUUUAAACAACCCCUAAAAUUUAAACUCUUUUGGGAAAAACCCCUGAUGCCAGGAGCUAACUCUUAAUGAGGUAUUAGUGAUGUUUGUUUACCAUAACCUAGGCUAUGAAGAGAGAGGAUGCUGCCUUCUUCCUCAGCCUGUCUCUUUUACUUAAGGCUCUUAAUGUAGACAUCUAUUUCUGUUGAUCCUUUUUGAUGAUUGCUUCCUGCUUCUUAACAUGCUGCCAAAUCUUCUCUCCCUACACUCUAAUAAAGACUUAAGAGCAUGGAUUUUAAUAUGCUUGUUUACUUGUUUUACUAAAAAUAGAAUUCCUGGUAUUCAAAAUCCUAUUGUUUUACUUAUGUAACUGUGUCUUCUAUUAUCUUUUGUUUAUUAGUUCUUGGGAUUAGUUUAGAUUAUAU
rnacentral:lncRNA from 10 species